GCCAGCGUAGGUCAAUGGUAGAGCGUCAGGCUUUUACUUGGUUGGAAAUUUCCAAAAAUCUUCCAAAUAGUUGCAACCUGAAUGUUGCGGUCGACCCCCGCCGUUGGCU
rnacentral:tRNA from 1 species